UACGUAGGGUGCAAGCGUUAAUCGGAAUUACUGGGCGUAAAGCGUGCGCAGGCGGUUAUAUAAGACAGUUGUGAAAUCCCCGGGCUCAACCUGGGAACUGCAUCUGUGACUGUAUAGCUAGAGUACGGGUAGAGGGGGAUGGAAUUCCGCGUGUAGCAGUGAAAUGCGUAGAUAUGCGGAGGAGCACCGAUGGCGAAGGCAAUCCCCUGGACCUGUACUGACGCUCAUGCACGAAAGCGUGGGGAGCAAACAGG
rnacentral:rRNA from 1 species